UUCCUACGGGGGGCAGCAGUGAGGAAUAUUGGUCAAUGGGCGAGAGCCUGAACCAGCCAAGUCGCGUGAGGGAAGACGGUCCUAUGGAUUGUAAACCUCUUUUGUCGGGGAGCAAAAAGGCCUCGUGAGGCCACAAGUGAGAGUACCCGAAGAAAAAGCAUCGGCUAACUCCGUGCCAGCAGCCGCGGUAAUACGGAGGAUCCAAGCGUUAUCCGGAUUUAUUGGGUUUAAAGGGUGCGUAGGCGGAUUGAUAAGUUAGAGGUGAAAUGUCCGGGCUCAACUCGGGA
rnacentral:rRNA from 1 species